rnacentral:rRNA from 1 species
UACGUAGGGGGCAAGCGUUGUCCGGAUUCAUUGGGCGUAAAGAGCGUGUAGGCGGCCAGGUAGGUCGGUUGUGAAAACUGGAGGCUCAACCUUCAGACGUCGACCGAAACCAUCUGGCUAGAGUCCGGGAGAGGAGAGUGGAAUUCCUGGUGUAGCGGUGAAAUGCGCAGAUAUCAGGAGGAACACCGGUGGCGAAGGCGGGUCUCUGGGCCGAUAUUGACGCUGAGGAGCGAAAGCGUGGGGAGCGAACAGG